rnacentral:lncRNA from 1 species
AUCCAAACAUAACAUUUGUACUGUAUAUUCUUAUGACUUAACUAUAAAGAGAGUAUUCAGAACUCCUUUUCAGUCCACUCAGCAGAAUGAAUUGUAUGCAAUCAUUCUAGCUAGCUCUUACUUAUUAUCCAUGAGAUAUUAAUAUAAUAUCUGAUUAGCCUAUUCAGUAGGUUUGGUACAGAGAAUUGCCACAGCCCAAAUAAAAUUUGUAGCCUGUAAUAUAUAUCAGCUCUUUACGGAACUUAAAGAGCAAGUGAGAAAGCAUCCAGGUAAGAUUUAUAUCUUGCAUGUCCAAGGAUCCUAUAAGGAAUAGGGAUUUGGGAUAUAUUUGGGAUAGUAAUUCAAAGGCAGAUAGCCUUCUAACCAUGUUGGCCAAUACUCCUUUAUUUCAGGCAGCCCAAGAAUAUCAUUCUAAAUAUCAUCAGGCUGCUCAAACUUUACGCUUACAAUUUGGAAUAACAAGAGGAAGGUAGGAGCAUAGUAAAAACCUGUACAGCUUGCCUUCCUUUCUAUGCUCCUACACUGCCUCCGUGGAAGAACCCUCGUGGUUUGAGACCCAAUGAAAUUUGGCAAAUGGAUGUGACCCAUUAUAAAUCUUUUGGUCGUUUGUCUUUUAUCCAUGUUGUGGUAGACACUUUUUCAGGAUUGCAAAUGCAAUACCAGCAGCAAAAGAAACAGCCCAAGUAGUCACUGAAUUCCUUAUACAAGCAUUUGCAAUCAUGGGUGUGCCACAAGCAAUGAAAACAGACAAUCGACCUGUAUAUACUUCUAAACAUUUUGCACACUUUUGUGCACAGUAUAAGAUUUUACACGCCAUUAGCAUACCUUUUAAUCCUCAAGUACAGACAGUAGUAGAGAGGAGAAACAGAGACAUUAAGACGCUCCUCCAAAAACAAAAGAAAGGGUUCAGGCAGCCCAGAAUCUCAUUCUAAAUAUCAUCAGGCUGCUCGAGCUUUAUGCUUACAAUUUGGAAUAACAAGAGAGGAAGGUAGGAGCAUAGUAAAAACCUGUACAGCUUGCCUU